rnacentral:lncRNA from 1 species
AUGUUAAACACAGGGGGCGACCAGGUUUCUCCAUCAAACCCCAAAUCUCCCAAAAUGCACAAAUUGAAGCCUCUAAUCUGCUCCAAAUCAAGUUUCAAGCAUGAAUUAGUGAUCAUCUCGUUGCGGGGAUCAAAAGUUUGACGCGUAACAAGCUAGGUGGAAGCUUGAUGAGGGAGCGGGUCAAACGAAUCAAGAAGGAAAGGAAAAAGCAUAGUUCGGACACGAGGUAAGUAUAUCUUACACUAGUCAUAUAUUUCAUAAUAUCCUUUUGUCGUAUUACGAAAAAGAUAAUUUAUGACGUAAGCCAUAGUAGGCUAAAAAGUGUUAAGAAAUGGAAUUAUAAGUAAGUGACCGCACGGUGUAAAUCGGAGCGAGUCAUAUAUAUAUUUACGAGGUGGUAAUAAAUAUCAUCUCGCUAAUAUAAUCGGUCAAUUCGGCCAAACGGGUCAAAAGGUGAAAUUAUCACCCUUUGACAAUAUCGACUAAUGGGUUGUCAAGAUGCAUGAUUUUAGGAAAUAAAUAGCACAUGGAUGCUUACAUCGCUAUCGCUUAGCAGCCACUAAGGAAAUGUAUUGAAACGGGUCAAUAUAUUGAUCCGAGCCAGGUGAAGAUGGGAUAAGCGGUUUGAAAGAUAUGAAAGUUUUCGUGCAAAUAAACGGCAAAAUAGGAAAGCUGGAAUGCAGGGGCCACCGUAACUUACGGUGCCACCGUAAGUUACGGUGGAGCUGAAGGCUUUACGGCAGCCCCCUACUGAUUUACGGUUCUUUUUGGAUGCCGGAAGACGAUCA